rnacentral:sRNA from 1 species
GCCGGGCGUGGUGGUGGGCGCCUGUAAUCCCAGCUACUCGGGAGGCUGAGGCAGGAGAAUUGCUUGAACCCAGGGGGCAGAGGUUGCAGUGAGCCGAGGCUGUGCCACUACACUCCAGCCUGGGCAACAGAGCAAGACUCUGUCUCAA